rnacentral:rRNA from 1 species
GACGGAGGAUGCAAGCGUUAUCCGGAAUGAUUGGGCGUAAAGCGUCCGCAGGUGGCAGUUCAAGUCUGCUGUCAAAGACCGGGGGCUUAACUUCGGAAAGGCAGUGGAAACUGAACAGCUAGAGUAUGGUAGGGGCAGAGGGAAUUCCUGGUGUAGCGGUGAAAUGCGUAGAUAUCUGCAGGAACACCCGUGGCGAAAGCGGCGCGCUGGACCACUACUGACGCUGAGGAACGAAAGCUAGGGGAGCAAACAGG